AUGGGGUUUGUUAAAGUUGUGCAGGAUAAGGCCGACUUUAAGAGAUACCAAGUGAAAUUUAGAAGAUGAUGAGAGGGUAAAACUGAUUGCUAUGCUCGGAAACGCUUGGCGAUUCAGUAUAAAAACAAAUACAACACACCCAAAUACAGGAUGAUAGUUGGUGUAACAAACAGAGAUAUCAUUUGUCAGAUCGCUUAUGCCCAGAUAGAGGGGGUAUGAUAGUCUGCACAGCGUAUGCACAUGACCUGCCAAAAUACAGUGUGAAGGUCGGCCUGAUAAAUUAUGCCACAGCGUAUUGUCCUGGCUGCUGCUGGCCUGCAGGUUUCUCAAUAGGUCUGGCCUGGACAAGAUCUAAGAAGGCGAAGUGGAGGUGACUGGUGAUGAAUAGAAUGUGGAAAGCAUUGCUGGUCGGCCAGGUGCCUUCACCUGCUAUAUGGAUGCAGGCCUUGCCAGAACUACCACUGGCAAUAAAGCUUUUGGCGCCCUGAAUGGAGCUGUGGAUGGAGGCUGGUCUAUCCCUCACAGUACCAAACAAUUUCCUGGUUAUGAUUCUGAAAACAAGGAAUUUAAUGCAGAAGUACACGGAAGGGCAUCAUGGGCCAGAAUGUUGCAGAUUACAUGUGCUACUUAAUGCAAGAAGAUGAAGAUGCUUACAAGAAACAGUUCUCUCAAUACAUAAAGAACAGCGUAACU
rnacentral:lncRNA from 1 species